rnacentral:tRNA from 1 species
GCCCGGAUGGCGGAAUAGGUAGACGCAGCGGACUUAAAAUCCGCCGGGAGCGAUCCUGUACCGGUUCGACUCCGGUUCCGGGCA